CUUGAUCAGACAAAUGGACUUCAGAUCAUCCUCGGGAAGGUGCGCCCAAUCACGCCGCCUCGCCGAGGCU
rfam:Mycobacterium xenopi 3993 GMX3993.contig.27, whole genome shotgun sequence.